GAUGAACGCUGGCGGCGUGCCUAAUACAUGCAAGUCGAGCGAACAGAUGAGGAGCUUGCUCCUCUGACGUUAGCGGCGGACGGGAGAGUAACACGUGGAUAACCUACCUAUAAGACUGGGAUAACUUCGGGAAACCGGAGCUAAUACCGGAUAAUAUAUUGAACCGCAUGGUUCAAUAGUGAAAGACGGUUUUGCUGUCACUUAUAGAUGGAUCCGCGCCGCAUUAGCUAGUUGGUAAGGUAACGGCUUACCAAGGCAACGAUGCGUAGCCGACCUGAGAGGGUGAUCCGCCACACUGUAACUGAGACACGGUCCAGACUCCUACGGGAGGCAGCAGUAGGGAAUCUUCCGCAAUGGGCGAAAGCCUGACGGAGCAACGCCGCGUGAGUGAUGAAGGUCUUCGGAUCGUAAAACUCUGUUAUUAUGGAAGAACAAAUGUGUAAGUAACUAUGCACGUCUUGACGGUACCUAAUCAGAAAGCCACGGCUAACUACGUG
rnacentral:rRNA from 1 species